GACGAACGCUGGCGGCGUGCCUAAUACAUGCAAGUAGAACGCUGAAGGAGGAGCUUGCUCUUCUGGAUGAGUUGCGAACGGGUGAGUAACGCGUAGGUAACCUGCCUGGUAGCGGGGGAUAACUAUUGGAAACGAUAGCUAAUACCGCAUAACAGUAGAUGUUGCAUGACAUUUGCUUAAAAGGUGCAAUUGCCCCACUACCAGAUGGACCUGCGUUGUAUUAGCUAGUUGGUGGGGUAACGGCUCACCAAGGCGACGAUACAUAGCCGACCUGAGAGGGGGAUCGGCCACACUGGGACUGAGACACGGCCCAGACUCCUACGGGAGGCAGCAGUAGGGAAGCUUCGGCAAUGGACGGAAGUCUGACCGAGCAACGCCGCGUGAGUGAAGAAGGUUUUCGGAUCGUAAAGCUCUGUUGUAAGAGAAGAACGAGUGUGAGAGUGGAAAGUUCACACUGUGACGGUAUCUGACCAGAAAGGGACGGCUAACUACGUG
rnacentral:rRNA from 1 species